GGCUAAUCUGCCCUUGGGACCGGAACACCCCCGGGAAACUGGGGCUAAUUCUCGAUAGGUGAAGAACUCUGGAAUGAGUCUUUGCCAAAAAGACGUUUGCGUUAUGCUCGUAGGCGUCGCCCAAGGAUGAGGCCGCGACCGAUCAGGUUGUUGGUGAGGUAAUGGCUCACCAAGCCUUUUACCGGUGCGGGCCGUGAGAGCGGGAGCCCGGAGAUGGGCACUGAGACAAGGGCCCAGGCCCUACGGGGCGCAGCAGUCGCGAAAACUUUGCAAUACACGAAAGUGUGACAGGGCUAUCCCGAGUGCCAUCCGCUGAGGAAGGCUUUUACCCAGUCUAGAACGCUGGGGGAAUAAGGAGAGGGCAAGUCUGGUGUCAGCCGCCGCGGUAAUACCAGCUCUCCGAGUGGUGUGGAUGUUUAUUGGGCCUAAAGCAUCCGUAGCUGGCUAAGUUAAUCCCUUGUUAAAUCCACCGAAUUAAUCGUUGGAUUGCGGGGGAUACUGCUUGGCUAGGGACGAGAGAGGCAGACGGUAUUUCCGGGGUAGGGGUGAAAUCCUAUAAUCCCGGGAAGACCACCAGUGGCGAAGGCUGUCUGCUAGAACGCGCCCGACGGUGAGGGAUGAAAGCUGGGGGAGCGAACCGGAUUAGAUACCCGGGUAGUCCCAGCUGUAAACGAUGCAGGCUAGGUGUUUGGACGGCCACGUGCCGUUCUAGUGCCGCAGGGAAGCUGUUAAGCCUGCCGCCUGGGGAGUACGAUCGCAAGAUUGAAACU
rnacentral:rRNA from 1 species